GAUCGAUUGGCCCAGUGGUCAAGGCGCCCGCUUUACACGCGGGAGAUCGCAGGUUCGAUCCCUGCAUCGAUCA
rnacentral:tRNA from 8 species